rnacentral:rRNA from 1 species
GAUGAACGCUGGCGGCGUGCCUAAUACAUGCAAGUCGAGCGAGCGGACGAGAAGCUUGCUUCUCUGAUGUUAGCGGCGGACGGGUGAGUAACACGUGGAUAACCUACCUAUAAGACUGGGAUAACUUCGGGAAACCGGAGCUAAUACCGGAUGAUAUUUUGAACCGCAUGGUUCAAAAGUGAAAGACGGUCUUGCUGUCACUUAUAGAUGGAUCCGCGCUGCAUUAGCUGGUUGGUAAGGUAACGGCUUACCAAGGCAACGAUGCAUAGCCGACCUGAGAGGGUGAUCGGCCACACUGGAACUGAGACACGGUCCAGACUCCUACGGGAGGCAGCAGUAGGGAAUCUUCCGCAAUGGGCGAAAGCCUGACGGAGCAACGCCGCGUGAGUGAUGAAGGUCUUCGGAUCGUAAAACUCUGUUAUUAGGGAAGAACAUAUGUGUAAGUAACUGUGCACAUCUUGACGGUACCUAAUCAGAAAGCCACGGCUAACUACGUG